GAUGAACGCUAGCUACAGGCUUAACACAUGCAAGUCGAGGGGAAACGACAUCGAAAGCUUGCUUUUGAUGGGCGUCGACCGGCGCACGGGUGAGUAACGCGUAUCCAACCUGCCCACCACUUGGGGAUAACCUUGCGAAAGUAAGACUAAUACCCAAUGAUAUCUCUAGAAGACAUCUGAAAGAGAUUAAAGAUUUAUCGGUGAUGGAUGGGGAUGCGUCUGAUUAGCUUGUUGGCGGGGUAACGGCCCACCAAGGCAACGAUCAGUAGGGGUUCUGAGAGUAAGCUACCCCACAUCGGAGCCACGACCCAGUCCACACCCCGACGCGGCGGAGCAGAGUAGAAUACUAGGCGAUGGACGCUAGUCUGAACAUGCCACGUAGCGUGCAAGAAGCCUCGGGUAUGGAUUGUAUUCUGUUUUGAUAGAAAAAUAGAGUGUGUCUCGUGCGACUUUUUGCAGGUACCCAAUGAAUAAGCACCGGCUAACUCCGUG
rnacentral:rRNA from 1 species